GUCCAUAGCUCAGUGGUAGAGCAUUUGACUGCAGAUCAAGAUGUCACUGGUUCGAAUCCGGUUAACA
rnacentral:tRNA from 1 species